rnacentral:rRNA from 1 species
AUUGCACGCUAGCGGGAUGCUUUACACAUGCAAGUCGAACGAGUGGCGGACUGGUGAGUAAUAUCUCGGAACGUGCCUAGCAGCGGGGGAUAACUAACCGACAGAGUGGCUAAUACCGCAUACUAUAGGAGUGGCUGAUAUCGGAUUAGCUAGUUGGUGGGGUAAAGGCUCACCAAGGCAACGAUCCGUAGCUGGUUUGAGAGGACGACCAGCCACACUGGGACUGAGACACGGCCCAGACUCCUACGGGAGGCAGCAGUGGGGAAUUUUGGACAAUGGGGGAAACCCUGAUCCAGCCAUCCCGCGUGUAUGAGAAGGCCUUCGGGUUGUAAAGUACUUUUGGCAGAGAAGCGGUAUCUGCAGAAUAAGCACCGGCGAACUACGUGCCAGCAGCCGCGGUAAUAC